AGAGCAGCAAGGCGUCGGUUUUAACUCUGAGGAAUUCAAAACAAGUCUCUGGAGUCUGAAACACGCUAUGUUUGGAACAAAGUUGUUAAAUGUUUUUUUGUUGUCGAGCCGUUCGUCUAUGGCAACGGAUUUGGAACUAGGAAGCAAACGAAUUCCUUGCGGCUCAUGUAAUGCACCUCGAUUCACCUAUGAUCACUACGUCAACAAUGUCACCAUCAAGCACACCAGCAUGGGACUUUCAGAAGAGUGAUCAAAUAUCCAGCUAUGAAUGAACGCCGUAUGUGACAAGGGUUUCCUAUGAAGAAGAAGCAAUGGCAAAUGGGUGAGCAAGGGUUAAAAGCAAGCGCUCCAGGAGGAGAGAGAGAGAGAGUGACUGAAGGACUUGGUAAUUAGGCGGUCUGCAACUCAUGCCUCAUCAGUAUGCGGAGUAUGCAAAUUAAACGUCUGGGUCUUUAUUUUUUGUGGAGGAUCAGAAGGCAAGCACUGCAGAGAAGAAUUAAAAGCAAUUAUUCUCGCCAUGGAAUGGCUGAUAUAUGCAAACAAGGAAUGGAGAGCAGAGAUAUACAAUGGACUCCAGUGUAAGGACAGUUAAAGAUAAUCACACAAGUACAGUCAUUCCUUCUUCGCACACUGGGAGAUUCUUCUACAUUCGUGCUGGAGGUAAUGAGUGGAAAAAAACGGCAAUCAGACAUGCACAUUCGUUCCCCAUUACGCCUUUCUUCGCAUAUUGAUGCGCUGCCUCAUGGAUGAUCAUUACCUUUUGGAAUAUUGCACCGCGAAACGAGCCUUGGAAUAAAUGAACAGAGCGAAGGAUGGGAAAAAGACAACAAAGCGGAGGUAUGCAAAAGCGCUAAUGAUAUUCAGAGCGCUGACUGCGUGUCAUCUGCAUGAUGACAACGGCAAUUACAAUGAACCAUUGGCUCUCUGCCACAGAUAAGUAGGAGAGAAGGAUAUUGACAACGAGGAGGGGGAAGCAAAAAGUAGUCCCACCCCCCUUUCUUCUUAAUGUGCUGCUGAUUUGUUGACUCGACGCCGUGGAUUUACAAUAACGAUAACAAUGAGGAAGAUAAAAACACAACCACCCAAGCUUUGUCCCUCAAAUGGAAUAGAAGGCCAAAGGUGAUAAAGUAUCCCUCCAUGUUGAAAUAAUGGCUGCCAAGGAUGGUAUUCCAUUUUGCCCCGUUAGUUCUGAUGGCAUUCCUUCCCGUAUCAACCACCGCCACAACGAAGCUGUCGGAAACCACAAACGAACAGACACGCACAAAAAAAAACACGGCACAAUUUUUUUUUCCACAGUGCCGCCCUCUCCCCUUCCUCAUCACAGUGCAAAAUGCCUCCCAUCACCAUUUUGCAUAUUCACAUGCCGCCCCGCCUGUCACAAAGGACUAAACAGCCAUAUGCAAAGCAGUCUGGCAUCCCCUCUUACAUAGCAAUGAGGGGAACACUCUAUGAAAGAGAGGAAGGGAUGUGGGGUAAUACAUGAUGGGGGGAGUAAGUACAUGAAGAUGGUGACGGUGGCGAGGGGGGCAGUUGGGCCACGGGGGAUCUUGUUGGCACUAAAAAGCGACACGUGCGGUGAUACCACUCCCACUGCGCAAUGACAAAAAGGCGGGCGUGGGAAAAAACGAGUGGAGGGGGGAUGAAAGGGACGGGAGUCGAAGGACGAGGGCAUGUUGGCACUAAGAAGGGGGCACGUGUUGCCUGAGGAGGGGAGGGGGCGACUUGGGUUGGUAAAACGCAGGGGGUGUUUGAUAGAAGUGCAGUGUUAGACAGGGUCUAAUUUUUCCGGCGCGAAAAAUUCAAGUUGUUGACAAGUUGUUGGGGCUCACUGACUCCUUGCACCAACAGCAGCAGAGUGAGUGGUCGGUUCACUUUGCCUACAAGAAAAACAAACCAAAAAACGCUGAUGCCGCUGAUGGAAAGUUUUUGCAGUUUUGAAACUGUGACUUUUUAAAACCUUGAAACUAAAAACCGGCCCAUGCCUAGCUGGAAUCAUCGUUUAUUUUGUCACAUCAUGCCAACUGGCACUACAUAAUGACAUCCAAUAAAAGAGCUUUAUCAAAUAUGGUGCUUUUAAAAUUUGAUAGUUUAGUGUUGAUCGACAGUGUGAGAAAGGUAUUAAUUUAACAAUAUCUUUAUUAUUGUAGUAGUAGCUUGCCUUGGUGUACAACAGUACUGCACGAUGCAGAGCUCUUGCUGAUAUUUUUCUCUCUCAUGUAAAUAAUUGAGGGAACCAAAAUAUUAGACACACAUUACGAUGCAGGACAGUUCUAUCUACACCUCUGCAAACUACAACCAAAACAGCGAAAACAUUGUUAAAUAAAUACCUCUCUCAACAUUGUUAUCUUUGCAAAUCAACAAUUGUUGAUACAGCUUCUGCAUUGGUUAUCAAUAUAUUGUGAAUGUGGUCAGAAUGUUUUGGCUGGUUGUUAUAGGUCAUUGAAUUGUCAUUGCACUUUCAUUUUAAUCUAAAAAAGAAAAAAAAAUGGUGUAAAAAAUCUGUAAACAAAUCAGCUUUUGUCAUUGCUGUCUCAUGUGGUGAAAUGUGUCAUGUGUUAAAAUGUUGGAUUGUUGAAUUCUGAUUCAUGUUAUUUUCCUUAAAUACCUGGAAAACCGAAGUAUAUUUUUGCCAAAUGUAUUAUGCAUACCAAACUUGUAGGAAAUAAUACAAAAGGCUUGAGUACAUUAGUUACAAAAAAAGAAUCCAGUAGUUUUUAGUUAAACUCAGUGAGUCAUCAGUGGCACCAGGCAUCAGAUUACUCUCAACACAGACCAAAGGUUCUUUAAAGGCCUUUUAGUCAGCCACGCUAGCAUAACAGCUAAUUUACAGCAGACUCAUUAGUGCAGCAUUAACACAAUUUCCUGCCGAUAAAUCGAAUUUGGCAGAAAGAUCAUGACCAUGGCAAUAAUAAACAAGCUUAUACAAUAGUUCCUAAUGGCAGUUGAGGCAACUUAAUGCUGUUCGCAACGCCCCAAUAUAGCAACAGGGGCUAUUUUCAAUACUCCUUUUAACAUAGAUCAUUUUGAGAUAAGUGCCAAGAUUCCCUCUUUCUUUAUUUUUUCUCCAGUUUGUCUCAGGCCUGUACUAUGACAGUGGAAAUCUAAUGUUUCAUAACUGUCGGUGCUAGAGGGUUGUAUGAGUAGCCUGAGGUUGCUGUGCUGAACAAUAAACCAUAAUUUGAUAGAUGAGAAAUUACUAUGGUCCGUACAAGGGCCCUCACCCCAGGCAGGGCAAUAAUGCGCCAGAUGAUGUGUCACAUUUUUUCUAUAAUAGCAAGAAAAAUAAUAAUAUUGUUUUAUACUUUCUUCAUCGUGUGUAUAUGUUUUGAAUGUAACUCUUCUUACUGUCAUUUAUAGAUAAAAUGACAAGGAAAUGCUCCAUGCACUACAUUGUGAGAGUUGAUAUUCAAAAUAUAAGUUACUUAACAGUAGGUUGUGAAUAAUAAUCGAUUGAUCGUUAAGAGUCGACCAUAGUUAAUUCAUUGUGUUUUGAAGCAAUUUAGGCCAAAUUUGGUAUAUUAUUUUGCUGUAACCAGCAGGGAACUGUUGAGUCUUGCUGAACUAGUUUGCUGUCUGAAGAAGGCCAACAUGAUAUCAGCUACGGGCAGUUGACUUACAUCCGUGUAAUGGCAACUCCUUUGGGCAGCAGAUCUUCUCCAUUGGGAAGAAACAGAGAGAGGGCGAGAGACAGAAACAGAGAAUCCCAUCCACCCACCCAUCCAUCCAUCCAUCCAUUUGUAUAGCACUUGUCCUCAUUAGGGUCACGGGUGAGCUGAAGCCAGCUGACUUUGGGAUAGAAGACUGGUUGCCAGCCAAUCCCAGGGCACAAAGGGCUGACAAACAUUCAUACUUUCAUUCACACCUUGGGAAAAGCCAUUCAAGAAGGGGGAGAACAUGCAAACUCCACACAGGAAGACCAGACCAGAGAUUUGAAGACUGGACAUUAAGAACUGUGAGGCAGACAUGCUACCCAGUAGUCUAAUAUGCUGGCGAGGGAGAGAAUUCCAACCAGUUAUAUAAAUAUAUAUAUAUAUAUAUAUAUAUAUAUACAGUAUAAAUAUCACCUGCCCACCUGUGCUACGACCUAUCUAGCCUUCCUACGUUGGCCAGUAUAUUUCCCAUCAUUUCGAGCGUAGCUUUGCCGUGGGGUCUGUGUGGAAAUGUUUUUGGUGACACCGUGGCUGAGAACGAUUCACAUCGACCAUUAGCGGCCCUGAAGCAUGCUCCCGCACCGUAUCAUUUGUGUCAAGCAUACGCUUGGGCGCAAGGUGAGUGACUGACAACCACGUGAAUAAAUGUAAUCGCUGAAAACUAGUGCUUGAGUGUAAAUUAGUGAGCAAUGUUAACAGCAUGCAUGACAGGACGUUUAAAGAGUAUUUAACGCAGAUGUAUUAAAGCUUGCAAAGACGGGCACCAAGUUGAUCGCGCACGCAAACAGAUGUGGAAGCUGAUCUACGAAACGGGCCCAACCAGGAUUGCGUCUGCCAAAUGAGUUAAAUUGCCGCCCAGUUCUUUUCGUGUGUUGUGCGAGGAGUAUAUGCAAAUUGCGCAAUGUGAUUUAUCAAACCUGAGACAAGUUGCGAUGGCUGAUUGUGCGUCUUUAAAUAGCACAUCUUAAAGUCAGGUGAAAACAUCCAAAGAGACAGACAGACAUGCUGAAAACAACUUUUGUUUACAAACAAACAUGUAAUUCAUGGCAACUUAAGAGGUAAUGUACACAUUAAGGAACAAUGUAGAGUGAGUUAGUAUUAUUGUUAUUAUUAUAAUGCGCCACAGUUCCUUCAGAUCUUCAGAUAUGGGCUUUUUAAUACAUUAUAUGUGCCAUGAAGUAAAAAAAUGUAAUUUGUGAGGCUGCUAUGGUUUUUUUUUUUUUUUUUUACUUGUGGAAAAACAGUAGUGUGUAUCAGAGCCCUAAUGCUAAGACUAAUACAUUAUUGUGAACUACAGUAUGUUAGCUUGCUGUUUGAAUUCUACAAACAAACGUGAUUCUUAAUUCCUGCUGAGAAUAUGUGCUCACGGCUUUGCUAAUAUUUUUUUAAACUUACAUACUACAAUUAUAAAGAGCACUUGUGCUUUGCAGGUUUUUCCUAUAUAGUAAUAAUAAAGCGCUGAUUGAUAUAUAGUAUACUGUAUCCAAUAAGUGUUUUGAAAUAUGUAUAGUAAGAUGGUUUGAUAUAAUGUUCAUAUUUUCUUGUUCAUUUUGUAUUUCAAUAUGUUAAUUAUUUAUAUUGAUGGAUAAAAGCCGGGAUUAUUUUAAAGUUUAGAAUGAGUGAAUUGGACUGAUUAUUAAUUUGCAUUUUUACAUCCCCAUGUUCAAUACACUAUUUAUGGACAUAAAAACUGGCAAAUUUGGCAAUUUCUGACCUUUGUAUGACAUUUUGAGAUUUUGGUGGGUUUCAGAGUAUUUUCAGAUUUCAUAUAGAGAUCUGGCACUCUUUAUACACUUAUUGCAGGUUGUGUUUGAUUGAAAAACAUGUCAGAAGAUAGGCAAAAAUGUUGAUCAGUUUUCCUAAAGUCAAGCUAAUGUCCAAAAAUGUCUUGUUUUUGAGUGAAAUGAAAGUGAAAGUUUGUCUACUUUCAUGAAGGCCUAAGGAAAGCAGAAAAUAUUAACAUUUGUGUGGCUGAAAUCAGAGGCUUAGGCCUAUUUGAAAUGACAUUUAAAAAGUGGUUCAAAACCUUUGCACUUCCUUUCUAUUUUGUGUUCAAUACGCUUGCUGGCAAGAAUGUUUUACUAAACUGUUGUGUUCAGCGUUGCCAUUGUUCACUGAUCUGGCUACUUAUGCUUUACUGUCAUUGUGUUCUACUUCAAUCCCGGGGCGGAGCCAAGAAUUUUUCAGUGGGGCGGCCCAACAGUCAGCAUGGUGACCAUGAAAAACAAUCGUCACGGUGGGAAGGGGGGACUGAUCAAACUUUUUGUCCCUUAAAAGGCAUUUGUCAAAGGAGGUGAUGAUCGAAAAUUGGCCAUUGAGGUGAUGAUCGAAAAUUGGCCAUUGAUUUAACACGCACUGGGUGAUGGGGGGCCACCCUUUGACCAUGGGCGGCCACAGCCACCCCUGCCUCCGCCCCUGCCUCAAUCUGAGUGACAGUUUGGUUAUUUAGUUCUUUCUCGAGAGGAUGAUCAUUUGCUCAUAAAAGUUGGCUUGCUCCUGAACAGUUUGUCCCCCAACUUCUGAAAUGAUGGCUACGCCCUUGACCACUUUUACACCCGUUAUCAACAGUAUUCUCAAAUCUGUUAGUGAGUGAGCACGCAAUUUAGCGUCCGCUAUUUGGGAUCUGUGUAAAAGCUCUCAAUCUUAGUAAAUCAUGUGCAACACAUCCACCAAGAGCUCUCGCAAUCUGGUAGAGUAAAGUCUCAAUUUAAAGCCGGCUUUUUAGGAUCUUAGUAAAUCAAGCGCAGUGUGCCACAGUCGUGAGGCAAGCUUUGCUAGGUUAUGGGCAUCUACGGCUGUGUGUUCGCUUGACCACAAGGGCACUGAGAUGGUCAUUUUGAGUGAGAUUUGUAGUUAAGUCAAACCAACUAAUGUAUUUGUCAAAAAUAAGCAUAUCAACAUAACUGCAAAGUACAAUUAAUAUCGCAUUAACAAAAAAAAAAACUGUUUCAGGAGUACUGUUUCAGUGCUGCUGUUUUGCUAAGCAACUCAGUUAGGCCACAGAAUCUUAUCUGCCAGGAGAAUUUAUGUUGUUUUUUUGCACAGUCAAUUUCUUCUUUGUUUGGCUGUAUUUGAUGUCCAAGCACAUCCCACUAAAGGAAACAUUGUGCCCUCCUUUUGAAGCCACUGAAGCUCACAUCCUCAGGAGGUGGUGAUGUCAUGUGAAAUGAAUGGCGUUUAUUCCUCAGUAAUUUUACAAUCUUGCCAUGAAACCUUAUAUCCUACCCUUUCCCUGCACUGAGCAUCAACCCCCCUUUUCUUCGAACAAGAAUGAUGUGAUAGAUGGUGAGAAAGACGUUUCCCCCUUCUUCCCCUUUGUUCUGGUCAGUGGGCUCAUGCAAUGUUUAUUAGAUUAAAAGUCACUCACUGCAACGUCAGAAAGGGUGGGAAAAAUGCAAAAGCUAUCAUUGGCUGUGGCAGUGUCUUCACUGCAGUUCUUAUUUUUUUUAUUGCAAAUUGAGACCAACUCGCGAUGGAAGGCAGUAAGAGAGGGGAGAAAUAGAUGCGUCCAUGAUUUAAAGCACCAGCACGCAGCACAGCAUUUAUGAUCACAACAUGCGUUUGACAAUCAAAGUGACUCCGGUGGGCCUUUUGGCCGGAUUCAAAGUGUUUCAAAGUGAUGCCAGACUACAUAGACAUGAAUAAGAAUAUGCACGCAGUAUAUGGCAUUCAUAAACGACAAGGGAAGUAUGGGUACGGGAGUUCAUCCUUCACACACACGUGAAUUGUCACAGCAGCCUGUUUGAUGUGCAGCAUAGUGGGGGUUGAUUGUUGCCACAUUGUGACCGGAGUCAUUCACUCCCACUGACAAUCUUAUCACUGUUCCUUGCACAGCAAAGGCCUCAAUUCUAUCUAAUCACACCGAAUGCUCAAAUAAAACUAUAUGACCUCACCGUGUAAUUGUAAAUCUGAGAGAAAAGAGCAUCUCGUAGUAUUUACUGAUGCCAUCUCCAUAUAAACGUUACUGCUUUCACUGUAAGCUUAGUUGGGUCAGGUCUUUAUUGUGAUUCAAAACAAGUGACACACAAAAAUAGGUCUUUAACAGAAGAAAAACCUACUGAAAUAAAGUGCUGUGUCAUUAGGUUAGUUUGUGGAACGUCUGAAGUUGAAUGCUUCUGAAGUCUUUAAAUUCUGAAUUGGCACCAAAAAUCUAGAAAUAAUCUGCCUCUAAUAUAAAACGCAACUUCGAGGUUCAAAUUUACUUGAUAAUGCAUCAGUGGAUUAACUGUGGGGAUGCAUUUUGCAUUUUUCUUUUGCUUUUUUUUGCCGCACAUAUUCCAAACAAUUUAACCUUCAUCAUCCAUCGUUGUUCAGAUUUUGUUGUUUUUAGGUCUUAACAUUGUCAUGUUUUACACUGAUAAAAAUGUUCAUCAAAAAUUGUGCUUUCAUGAAUAUUAUUUUUUAAUAAUGGCAGUUUGACCGUGGAACAGACUGUGUGUCAGUUUCAGUGAUUUGUUAUCAAUAUGUUUUGGAAAUACAGUCCCCAAACGAAUCGUGCUUAUCCUUAAAGGUUCCGCACAAUGGCCCAUACUCUCUUGUUUGUGCACGAGUCCUAUUUUACGUGGCUGGGCUUGCACUCUUUUUAUCUGUAGGUAUUCUCUCAUCCAGGCGUAUGGCACAAUUCCACCGCAUCUAAACUGGGAAUGAAAGAGGUGAUAUUCACUGACAUUGCAGGAAAUCCUGGAAACAUACUUUUCUUGAGACUUGGCAAUGUCAUUUCAGUUCAUAAAAAAGUUAAAGCACACUUUUGAAUUUGAAAAUGCCUUAUUAUGGGGCAGUGUUUAGCAACCGUGGAACCCUGGUGGUCUGUGGUGCAAUUCCAAGGGGUUCGUGAAAAUAAAAUACUUAUUUUAAAAAGAGCCUAUGACAUUUAUAGAGAGAGGAUUGUUUUACUCAAAUGUGACAGAUCUACUGUACCUAUCUACCUAAACUACAGAGUGUACAGGACUUUUUCCCCCCUCUGAUUCCAUCUGUUUGUGUAAGUGUAAUUCAUUGCAUUUUAAUAAGGUGUCUCGCCUACAUUUGCAUUGUUGAAGUCAGGGAGUCCUCGGGGUCAGUCAAAAAUGUGUGGGGGUCACGGA